GGCGGCACAGGCAAUUAGCUUUCGCAGUUCGCUGUCUGAAACAGUUUCAGUUGCAAGUUGUCCUUUGGGCAGUCACGUCGUCUAAUAACUUAACCAUCCCGCUUAAGCAACAUGUGGAGACAGCUGUGCGUAGCGGCGCUUCUGACCACCUUUCUCUGCGCAGCUGAGCACAGGCCAGAGAAUCGUCACGCGCGUUCGGCUGAUACAUUCUGGAUCAGCGGUCGGUAUGGGCGCUCCCUGCCCGCACUGACGGAGUUCACUGCGAGGAAUAACAGAUUCUUUUUAACCAAUCGAUAUGGGAAGAGAGCCGGGGCAUUCGGCGGUCGGUCGGCGAACCGGUUGACCGAUCGGUGGAAGAAGCGACUUGUAUGUGACUGCAUACCGAGCGAACAUUACAAGCGAAACGUGUACAGAGCAUCAGUGUAAACCAUGAUUUAAGUUUGUAUUGUUUCCUAUCUUCCGCUUACGAGACAACAAUACUUGAUAAUGGUUUUUACAGUUAGUGAGAAAAUUGUGCUGAAAUGUUUGCGCAAAUUAAUAUGUAAUCGUGUGUAUUCGCGCCUUCGUGCUAAUUUCCUAUUAUUUUAUUUUAUCAGUUUGUAUGAGGGUUUUGGGCUGGAAUUUACAUACAAACUGAAAACUCAUAUUCUUGUCGUCGUGUGUAUUAAUCAAUUAAAUAUAUUUCCCUCGACCAUAAUACAACACAAGUCGUGUGUUUAUAUAAUAACCCCAAAAGGCAAUCUGCAUGUAGUAAAGUUAGCAAAUUGAAUGUAUAAUAAAUUAUUACGUAUUAACUAAGAGACGUUAUUAUAAUAAAGAGAUUAAAUUGCA